rnacentral:rRNA from 1 species
GAUGAACGCUGGCGGCGUGCUUAACACAUGCAAGUCGAACGGGAAUUAUUUUAUUGAAACUUCGGUCGAUUUAAUUUAAUUCUAGUGGCGGACGGGUGAGUAACGCGUGGGUAACCUGCCUUAUACAGGGGGAUAACAGUCAGAAAUGGCUGCUAAUACCGCAUCAGCGCACAGAGCUGCAUGGCUCAGUGUGAAAAACUCCGGUGGUAUAAGAUGGACCCGCGUUGGAUUAGCUUGUUGGCAGGGUAACGGCCUACCAAGGCGACGAUCCAUAGCCGGCCUGAGAGGGUGAACGGCCACAUUGGGACUGAGACACGGCCCAGACUCCUACGGGAGGCAGCAGUGGGGAAUAUUGCACAAUGGGGGAAACCCUAAUGCAGCGACGCCGCGUGAAGGAAGAAGUAUCUCGGUAUGUAAACUUCUAUCAGCAGGGAAGAUAGUGACGGUACCUGACUAAGAAGCCCCGGCUAACUACGUG